rnacentral:rRNA from 1 species
ACCAGUAGCUAUAUCACCCUGCAGCACACUGAAGCUCAGCAGGUGUGAGCCUGGUCAGUACCUGGAUGGGAGACCUCCUGGGAAAGCUCAGGUUGCUGCUGGAA